UUGGCCACCUGGCUCUGAGAACUGAAUUCCAUAGGCUGUGAGCUCUAGCAAAUGCCCUAGGGACUCAGUUCUGGUGCCCGGUUGUGCUAU
rfam:Cricetulus griseus cell line CHO-K1, whole genome shotgun sequence.